UACGUAGGGUGCAAGCGUUAAUCGGAAUUACUGGGCGUAAAGCGUGCGCAGGCGGUUUUGUAAGUCUGUCGUGAAAUCCCCGGGCUCAACCUGGGAAUUGCGAUGGAGACUGCAAGGCUGGAGUACGGCAGAGGAGACUGGAAUUCCUGGUGUAGCAGUGAAAUGCGUAGAUAUCAGGAGGAAUACCGAUGGCGAAGGCAGGUCUCUGGGCUGAUACUGACGCUCAUGCACGAAAGCGUGGGGAGCAAACAGG
rnacentral:rRNA from 1 species